UACGAAGGGGGCUAGCGUUGCUCGGAAUCACUGGGCGUAAAGGGUGCGUAGGCGGGUCUUUAAGUCAGGGGUGAAAUCCUGGAGCUCAACUCCAGAACUGCCUUUGAUACUGAAGAUCUUGAGUGCGGGAGAGGUGAGUGGAACUGCGAGUGUAGAGGUGAAAUUCGUAGAUAUUCGCAAGAACACCAGUGGCGAAGGCGGCUCACUGGCC
rnacentral:rRNA from 1 species